GAGCACGGCUGAACAACAUCGGCAGGGCUGAUCUACCAGAGUCUAAAACCAAAACAGCUUGUGUUUGGAGUAAUCAUUUUAUCUCAGGAGCGCCAGCAAAACUAUACGAUAGAAACAAUCCAGACUGGGGACCCACUCAGGAAAUGGGCUAUGUUUCGUCCAAGAAUACUUCACCAUACAAUGGAUGUAGCAGAAUUUUUGCAGCAUGCGAUUCCAUGCUGCUUCCGGGUUUCCCUGUCUCAGUCCCUCGCCUCAUAUUUCCGGCUGAAGUCUGACUGGAGUCCCCCGGCACCCUACUACGGAAUGUCACCCUAUGGGAUUCAACCUUCAGUGUGACUUCUAUGAGGACCUCCAAG